rnacentral:rRNA from 1 species
AUUGAACGCUGGCGGAAUGCUUUACACAUGCAAGUCGAACGGCAGCACGGACUUCGGUCUGGUGGCGAGUGGCGAACGGGUGAGUAAUGUAUCGGAACGUGCCCAGUCGUGGGGGAUAACGUAGUGAAAAUUACGCUAAUACCGCAUACGAUCUAUGGAUGAAAGCGGGGGAUCGCAAGAACUCGCGCGAUUGGAGCGGCUGAUAUCGGAUUAGGUAGUUGGUGGGGUAAAGGCCCACCAAGCCAACGAUCUGUAGCUGGUCUGAGAGGACGACCAGCCACACUGGAACUGAGACACGGUCCAGACUCCUACGGGAGGCAGCAGUGGGGAAUUUUGGACAAUGGGCGAAAGCCUGAUCCAGCCAUUCCGCGUGCAGGAUGAAGGCCCUCGGGUUGUAAACUGCUUUUGUACAGAACGAAAAGGUUUCUACUAAUACUAGGAGCUCAUGACGGUACUGUAAGAAUAAGCACCGGCUAACUACGUGCCAGCAGCCGCCGUAA